AAAGGAAUUGUCGAGAGGACAGAUCUGUAAAGCGUCAACAUAAUGACUCUGAGUUCGAAUCCUGCUGUCCCCAUUUUAGCAUUUGUUUUUUUAACCUUUUCUUUCUUUGUUUCCUAUCUUUAGAAUUUCUUUUUCUUUGGUAUCUUCAGAAGAAUAGCAGAUCCAUGAGAAACACCAUUCCUCUUCUUCGUUCUUCUCAAUUAUCUUGACGCCUCACUGAAACCAAAAUAAAGCAGAAGAAUUGGUAUUUUUUCCCCCUCUCGCCAAUCAUCCAUUGUUGGUCCAUUCGGAACCAAAAUAAACCAAAAUAAAGCAGAUUAAAUCGGGGAUAAGAAAGAUGGUUCAUUCGGAAGCAAACACCAAAUCGGUAGAAUAGAAGGAAACGAACAACCCUAGAUUUCAAUUGAAGGAUGUUCAUCGAUCUCUUUUCAAUUAUCAGUUCACAUUGGGACUUUUUUAGGGUUGAUUAGUUAAAUUUUUUUUUGUUCCAUCUCAUUUUGAUGGAGAAAAAACUAACUGGGUUCUGACCCAUAAGUGUAAGAUAAUGGAGGAUACAAGUGGGUUUAGAUCUGGGGUGUUUAUCGGGAAAUUGUAGAUAAAAUGAUGUGGAGCAAGACUACGAAGAAUAAGAAGAAUUUUGUAGCUUUUGUGACGAGGAAGAAGAAGAAUGGACAAUAUAGGAGGAGAAGGAACAAGAAUCUAUGAUAUUAGGUAAGGAGGGGAUGUAAGAAUCAUGAAAAUGUUCUUGAAAGGUGUAUCUAUCCCUGAGGCAUGUGAUGUGAUUUGGGUUCUGGGUAUUCAGCAAUAAAAUUUAUUUUUAUAUAGAGGAGCCAAUUGCUCACCAUUUUCCUUUGAUUGAUGGUCUGGUGGAGGCAUUGCACAACAAGAUUCGUCGUGUUGUUGCUUUUACAGAUUCUGAGAUAGUUUGUGAUCAAAUGAGUUAUUCUUUCUUAAGUAUCAUAUAGUAUUCUUUCU